rnacentral:tRNA from 1 species
GGGGAUACAGCUCAGUUGGUAGAGUGCUUGCCUUGCAUGCACACAAGGCUCUGGGUUCAAUUCCCAGCACCACUA